rnacentral:misc_RNA from 1 species
GCAACCCGCCAUAUUCUUAUGUGCACAUAAAGGUUGUGACGUUAGGUGUGUUGAGUCUUGCUCCACCCCAACUAAGGAUUGUUAUCGACGUUGAGUGCGUUGAGUUUUACUCCGCCUCAGCUAAGGAUGUUUUCGACGUCGGGUGCGUUGAGUCUUGCUCCGCCCUGACUAAGGGAAAGUUAUGAGAACGAAUUGUUUUUCGUAUACGAUCAUUUUGGCAUGAACAUAUGUGAUUUGUUUACAUUGUUGAAAUUAUGAUUUUACAGAAAUGAUUAUUU